rnacentral:rRNA from 1 species
CCCUUAGAUGUUCUGGGCCGCACGCGCGCUACACUGACGAUGGCAACGAGUUUUUCCUUCGCCGAAAGGUGUGGGUAAUCUUUUGAAACAUCGCCGCGCUGGGGAUAGAUCAUUGCAAUUUUUGAUCUUGAACGAGGAAUUCCUAGUAAGCGCGAGUCAUCAGCUCGCGUUGAUUACGUCCCUGCCCAUUGUACACACCGCCCGUCGCUACUACCGAUUGAAUGGUUUAGUGAGGACUCCUGAUUGGCGCCGCCGCCCCGGCAACGGAGCAGCGGACUGCCGAAAAGUUGUUCAAACUUGAUCAUUUAGAGGAAGUAAAAGUCGUAACA